rnacentral:rRNA from 1 species
GAUGAACGCUGGCGGCGUGCCUAAUACAUGCAAGUCGAGCGAACGGACGAGAAGCUUGCUUCUCUGAUGUUAGCGGCGGACGGGUGAGUAACACGUGGAUAACCUACCUAUAAGACUGGGAUAACUUCGGGAAACCGGAGCUAAUACCGGAUAAUAUUCUGAACCGCAUGGUUCAAAAGUGAAAGACGGUCUUGCUGUCACUUAUAGAUGGAUCCGCGCUGCAUUAGCUAGUUGGUAAGGUAACGGCUUACCAAGGCAACGAUGCAUAGCCGACCUGAGAGGGUGAUCGGCCACACUGGAACUGAGACACGGUCCAGACUCCUACGGGAGGCAGCAGUAGGGAAUAUUCCGCAAUGGGCGAAAGCCUGACGGAGCAACGCCGCGUGAGUGAUGAAGGUCUUCGGAUCGUAAAACUCUGUUAUUAGGGAAGAACAUAUGUGUGAGUAACUGUGCACAUCUUGACGGUACCUAAUCAGAAAGCCACGGCUAACUACGUG